GUGAGGAAUAUUGGUCAAUGGGCGGGAGCCUGAACCAGCCAAGUCGCGUGAAGGAAGAAGGAUCUAUGGUUCGUAAACUUCUUUUGCAGGGGAAUAAAGUGCAGGACGUGUCCUGUUUUGUAUGUACUCUGCGAAUAAGGAUCGGCUAACUCCGUGCCAUCAGCCGCGGUAAUACGGAGGAUCCAAGCGUUAUCCGGAUGUAUUGGGUUUAAAGGGUGCGCAGGCGGGUUGAUAAGUCAGCGGUGAAAGUUUGCAGCUUAACUGUAAAAUUGCCGUUGAAACUGUCGAUCUUGAGUGCAAAUGAGGUAAGCGGAAUGUGUUGUGUAGCGGUGAAAUGCUUAGAUAUAACACAGAACACCGAUUGCGAAGGCAGCUUACUGGGAUGCAACUGACGCUCAUGCACGAAAGCGUGGGGAUCAAACAGGAUUAGAAACCCGAGUAGUCC
rnacentral:rRNA from 1 species